rnacentral:rRNA from 1 species
UACGUAGGCAGCGAGCGUUGUUCGGAAUUACUGGGCGUAAAGGGCGCGUAGGCGCCUUCUAAGUCGAACGUGAAAUCCCCGGGCUCAACCCGGGAACUGCGUCCGAUACUGGAAGGCUUGAAUCCGGGAGAGGGAUGUGGAAUUCCAGGUGUAGCGGUGAAAUGCGUAGAUAUCUGGAGGAACACCGGUGGCGAAGGCGGGUCA